UCUGUUCUUCCUUCCUCUCUCGUUCUCGUCUCUAAAUCCCCGCUUCUCUCUCGUUCUCUUCCCCCUUACUACUACCAGAAACAUCAUUAUCAUCAACUUCAUAAACCCCCAAAUCCUUUUCCCUAUUUUCUUUCAAAAUCCUAGAAAUCUCUUUAUGUUUGAAGAUCCACCAAACCCAAAACCUAAUGGUCGUCGUUCAAAAAGAAGAAGAUAGAAAACAUCUUGGAACUAGGGGUCAAUACAAAGGGGUUUGUUUGUUUAUUUGAUAUAUGUUGAUUGUGUAAAUAAAAUUUCAAUAAAUAGGUCAGAAUAAGAUUAGGGUUUUGAAGUUCUAAUUGAAUUUGAUUUGUUAAAGGCAGAGAUGGGGUUCUAGAUCUGCUGUAAAGAGCUGGAUAUCACUCUGCUUGUUACAGGAACUUGCAGGCUAAAUGAUUGCAGGGAAUGAGCUAUGUAAGAUUAUAAACAAGCAGCAAACUGAUUGAUCCUUCACUACAAACAGUAUUGACAUUUGAGGGGUUAGACCAAAUUUGGAAAGUUUUGGUCGAAAAGGAUAGUAACGUAGAUUCUGUGCUUUUUCUUGAUUGGAACAAGAAACUUAAGCAGGCUUCAAAAUAUUUGGGUUAGAUAGUAUCUUUGGCUAAAACAUUAUUAACAUGUGCUCUUGAUCUAGCAUCACUGGUUUUCCCUCUUUGGUCCAUUUUAAGGAGUAAUCGCUAUUACAGUAGAAGAAGAAGAUGAUAUUGUAAAAUUUUCUGAUUACAAAGCUUCGUCAACAUCAUCCAGUGGAGGGGCGAAAAGCUCACCGGAACCUUCUCCACCAAAAAAGAGGCGGAGCCUGUGAGCUCGCCUGAGCUAACAAGUUCAGUGGCUGCUGAACCUCCUCAAUCAGAAGGUCGCAGUUUUGCUAUCCCUCUUGCAAAAAAACUGGCUGAAGACUGAAGAGAACAACUAGGUGCCUACUUUAAGCGUUAAAGGCACAGGUCCUGAUGGCAGUAUUGUGAAGGAUGAUAUUGAUGACUACUUGGCUAGCAAGGCAUCAGCCCCCAAGGAUAAAGCCACAACACAGGCAUCUAAUUUGGAUUACACCGAACUUCCACACACUCAAAUAACAAAAAUCACAGCUUCACAUCUGCUACAAUCAAAACAAACUAUUCCUCAUUAUUAUUUGACUGCUGAUUCUUGUGUCGACAAACUAAUGGAGUGAGUAUCAGUUGUGAAAAGCAAAGUUUUAUGUUUCUUCUGUUCUUGUGAUGUGGGUCCUCCUUAGGUAUGGUUAUUUUUCUGAAAGAUUGAGAAGCAAAUUUAAUUUCGUCCAAGAAGAUUCUGGUGGGAAACAUAUCUCAGUUAAUGAUCUUGUAGUGAAGGCUGCUGCUUUGGCUCUUCGCAAAGUUCCUCAAUGUAAUAGUUCCUGUACAAAUGAUUAUAUCUUCUAGUUCAAAACCAUCGUCUGAUGGAUCUGGGAGGAGAAUAAGAGAAGUUGCAUGUUCUACUUGCACCGUCCAUUUGCGGUAAAACGAUGGCUCACCAUAGCUCCCGUUGCACCCACAACCCUCUGGUUAACUAUGUCAGGGUGCUGUGGAAAAUCCUUCUUUUAUCCUACUUUUCGAAAGCUCUUCCUGUAGACGUUUUCGUACAGCGGGGCUACCUCCUCUUUCGUGAACACUAGAAUCUAACUGCUGUGUGCUGACGUUAUGUACGACAUGGGAUAGAAUCCUGGGACAUGGACAAUGGUGAGAACAUUGUGGUUGCUGGCAAAAAGAAAAAAGAAGCCUGUAAGCAUGAUGGACGGUUUCCUGAGGUUGGCGCAAACAAAUACAAAGAAAUAUUUAGAAACAUGUGGGGUUCUUGCUGGUACCGAAAAACAGAGUAUUCCAUAUUACAACACUGAUGAUUCCAAAGCAGGAGGCAACUUCGGACCCUUGCUCGACGAUGAAUGAAGAAGAAAUUUUUGAGUUUCAAGACAAACUCUUCCUUUUCCCCCUUGGGUGGAUUCAUGCAAGCACAUUCUUCACAGACUUGAUUUAUGUCUUCAGUUGAUCUUCAUACACAUUAUUCGUACCAGAUUUUGAGCAGUUUCAUUGGGCGUGCGACAUCUAACACACUGCUCUUGCUGGUUCCUCCAGUUGAAAUGCCUCACAACCCAUGGUGACAACUUAAACUUCAAGCACCCGGCAUACCUCAUGCGGCAAAGAAUGUUCACCUGGUUAGCUGGUUCCAGCUGACGAAUGUGAGAGUUCUUAUUUCUUUAGAUCAUUUUGUAAGAACCUUAGUGUGAUACUAAAUAUUUAUAAAUAUAUCCACAUGAUA